rnacentral:misc_RNA from 1 species
GUCAAAGAGUCCCAAUCCAACCAAGUAGGCCCAGAAAUGGCCGAGAAAUGGAAAUCCUCAUCAUGGCAAGAGAGCGUCAGCUGAUCUAUUAGUAAUGCCUGUUUUAUACUCAAUAUGGAAAUUGUAACCCAACAAUUUAGAAAUGCAGUGUUGUUGAGCUGAAGUGGUGAUGUUUUGCUCCAAGAGGGGCGUGGAGAUGCCACUGAUCUGUGCGUACCAAAAAUUUCUGUUCCAUAAGUAAGGACGCCAAUGCUCAAUAGUUAACACCAAGGCCAUCCAGUUCUUUCUCAUAAGCAGACUUGGAAAGAGUUUUAGAGGAAAGAGCCCUAUUGUAAAAAGCAAUA